rnacentral:lncRNA from 1 species
AGAACUCAGAAACUACUACUGACUGAGCAAAGACGAUGAAGCCACGGAGUGACACAUGCUAUCAUGACAUAUGUAAAAAGCCUAACCAUACAACACAGUGUGUUUCUCUACAGCUGAUUCAUUUGUGAGCGGAAUCAACCACAGGACCAGGUGCUGUUCCAACUCCAAGACGAGCAAGAAGCCCGAUUCCAAGCGACGGCCGCAAGCAACGACACCACUAGGCAGGAUUUGUUUGCACAAUAACAAAUUGGCAAACCUGCUGGGUCUGGAAGACGGUUCUGUCUGAUGCUGCACCUUAGCAGAGCCAGAGGAAGACAAACCCAAGGCUCAUGGAAGCCAGAACACGGGGCUGCACCGAAGUGAACCCACAGUUUUCUCCUCAUGGUUUGCCUUACAGAUGGAACCAACUCUCCAGGCAUUUGUGGCUGGAACUAGGUUGGCGUAGCAGGUGGGUGGUGGUGCUGAGCAGGGAUAAAUGGAGCAGAUUGCCAUCCAAAAGCCAACUUUGAAGUCUUUACUGCUCACUGUAACCUCUGAC